AUUGUAGGAAGUAACUGUGGAUGUGGUAGAAACAGCAAGAGAACUUGAAUUAGAAGUGAACCCUGAAAAUGUGACUAGAUUGCUGCUAUCUCAUGAUCAAAUUUAAAUGGAUGAGGAGUUGCUUCAUAGGGAUGAACAAAGAAAGUGGUUUCUUGAGAUGAGAUCUACUCCUGGUGAAGAUGCUGCGAACAACGUUGAAAUGACAACAAAGGACUUAAACUAUGACAGAAACUUAGUUGAUAAAGCAGUGGUAGGGUUUGAAAGGACUGACUCCAAUUUUGAAAGAAGUUGUACUGUGGGUAAACAGCAUUGCAUGAUACAGAGAAAUUGUUCAUGGAAAGAAGAGUACAUGGAUGCAGCAAACUUCAUUGUUGUCUUAUUUUAAGAAAUUGCCACAGCCACUCCAUCCUUCAGCAACCACCACCCUGGUCUAUUAGAAACCAUCAAUAUCAAGGCAAGAUUCUCCACCAACAAAAAGCUUAUGACUCACUGAUGGCUCAGAUGAUCAUUAGCAUUUUUCAGCAAUAAAGUAUUUCUACAUUAAGGAAGGAAAACUGGCUCUACCCUAGAACUUACAGAAAGAAAACUAGCCCUACAAAAAGAUAAUGUUAUUAUGGGAUGGUAACAAGUAAUAACAGAAAGGUGUAUAAGUGAAGCAAAAAUGAGGGUAACUUGCUCCAGGUAGUUCCAUGGGAGGCUUCAGAGAAGAACUGGUUCUAGAGGUGUACCCUGAAGGCUAAGCAACACUAUCUUGGGAAAGAAAUAUGAGGAGGGCAGUUUAGGCCAAUGCAAGAACAUAAGUGGAGAUUCAGAGACAUGAAAAGAGCAUGAUGUACGUGGCAUAAUCACAAGUACAUGGACAGAACAUGCUACAACAUGCUUGAUGUGGUGAGUGGCCAGAAAUGGGGUUGAGAAGGGGAUGGCAUUCAGGACAUCAAAGGCAUUGUGUGCAUCUUAUUCUUUUAGCCACAGGGAGAAUUUUGAGCAGAGUUGCAUCUUCCUGCUAAUUUAUGGUUGCAUCUCAGCACCUAGCACAGUGACUUGCUUGCAGUUCUUCUAGCAAUGUCAGAGAUUGUUUCCUCUCCAGUCAUAAUCAAUCUUAAGUGUUAAUAAAAUACAGAAGACUGUCAAUGCAAAUGAUAUUCAGACAAAACAGAUAGAUAAAUUUUCUAAAACAAAGACAAGAACACUGAAUUAUAUCUGAAACUAGGUCUCGAUGAAUAGCACCGAAUGAACCAAUAAGUGAGCAUGUGUCUACGGGAAGGACCACAUGAGUAUGAAAGAAAUGACUAUGAAAGAAUACUAAAAAGAAGAAAAUCAAAGAAGAAGGAGAAGGAGAAAGAGAAGGAGAAGAACAAG
ensembl:lncRNA novel transcript, antisense to SERPINI1